CAACCCUCAAGCUCUGCUUGGUAUUGGGCGACGUCCGCCGUCGGACGCGCCUCGAAGACCUCGGCGACGGCGUCCGAGCCUCGAGCGUAGUAGUGACAUAUCUCGCUUUGGAGGAUCGGGCGACGGCCGCCGGACGAAUCGGACCUUCGGUCCAUUUAUUUUCCAA
rnacentral:misc_RNA from 1 species